CCUACGGGUGGCUGCAGUGAGGAAUAUUGGUCAAUGGGCGCUAGCCUGAACCAGCCAAGUAGCGUGAAGGAUGACUGCCCUAUGGGUUGUAAACUUCUUUGAUAUGGGAAUAAAGUGCAGUAUGUAUACUGCUUUGAAUGUACCUUAUGAAUAAGGAACGGCUAACUCCGUGCCAGCAGCCGCGGUAAUACGGAGGGUUAGAGCGUUAUUCGGAUUUAGUGGGGUUAAAGGGAGCGUAGGCGGGUUGUUAAGUCAGUUGUGAAAGUUUGCGGCUCAACCGUAAAAUUGCAGUUGAUACUUGCAUCCUUGAGUACAGUAGAGGUAGGCGGAAUUCGUGGUGUAGCGGUGAAAUGCUUAGAGAUCACGAAGAACUCCGAUUGCGAAGGCAGCCUGCUGGACUGUAACUGACGCUGAUGCUCGAAAGUGUGGGUAUCAAACAGGAUUAGAUACCCGGGUAGUC
rnacentral:rRNA from 1 species